AACGAACGCUGGCGGCAUGCCUAACACAUGCAAGUCGAACGAUGCUUUCGGGCAUAGUGGCGCACGGGUGCGUAACGCGUGGGAAUCUGCCCUUGGGUUCGGAGUAACAGUUAGAAAUGACUGCAAAUACCGGAUGAUGACGUAAGUCCAAAGAUUUAUCGCCCAGGGAUGAGCCCGCGUAGGAUUAGGUAGUUGGUGGGGUAAAGGCCUACCAAGCCGACGAUCCUCAGCUGGUCUGAGAGGAUGAUCAGCCACACUGGGACUGAGACACGGCCCAGACUCCUACGGGAGGCAGCAGUGGGGAAUAUUGGACAAUGGGCGAAAGCCUGAUCCAGCAAUGCCGCGUGAGUGAUGAAGGCCUUAGGGUUGUAAAGCUCUUUUACCCGGGAAGAUAAUGACUGUACCGGGAGAAUAAGCCCCGGCUAACUCCGUGCCAGCCGCCGCCGUAA
rnacentral:rRNA from 1 species